rnacentral:rRNA from 1 species
CCACGGUAUGAUUUAUGAUUGGGGUGAAGUCGUAACAAGGUAUUCGUAGGUGAACCUGCAGAAGGAUCA